rnacentral:lncRNA from 1 species
CAAAGAAAAUCAUCAUUUUUAAUUGCAAAUUUGGCUACACAAUUGGCCACCUGAUAGUGGAUUUAUACUAGAAAUUAAUGUCUAGAAUAGUUAAAUGAGAUUUUAAUCGAGAACACUAAGAGGGAACAAAUCAGACUAAAUGAUAACACUAUUACACAUAAGUGAUUUAACUAGCGAUAUUGUGCAGCAUUCAUAGAAAUGGUGAAGUGGUGAAGUCCAUCAACCAGCUCACCCUUGUCAAUCAUCCUCAAUUUUUGUGUAUCCUGGAUGUAGAAAUUGUUGGUGACGAAGGGUCUGAAUAAAGCACUUACUGAAGUCAGAAAUGUGCGUAACAGCAUGUGACAAAAAAUCGAUAGCUAACCAGAUACUA